AAGUGAAAGUACAAUAAUGAAACUGAAAGUAACAGCGGGUCUGGCGACAUCUUAUGAACAUGUACCUCCGUCAGCAUAAAAAUUUACUUCACGGUAGUUUAUAUUAGACAUGCUUGUUUUGUAUAACGUUGUUUAUUUGAAGAUGCACCUGCCUAACUUUCUUUUAAUGUCAGCGCUGCUGCUGAUCGCUGAUGGGUUCACAGUGAAGGGUCCGUCAGGUCCUCUGGUUGUUCCUCUGGGAGGUUCAGUUCUUCUGCCCUGUUCUGUUGAUUCACUCUCAUCACUGGAGGGUCUGGAGGUGGAAUGGAAGAGAUCAGACUCACAGACUCUCAUUCAUCUGUAUCAAGAUGGAGAUAUUAGACCAGAUUCCCAGCAUGAGGAUUAUCAUGACAGAGCUCAUUUCUUCACUGAGAACAUUAAACAGGGAAACUUCUCCCUCCUGAUGAAGAAUGUGAGACAAGAAGAUAAAGGACAAUACACAUGUACGGUUCACAGUGGACAAGAGACUGGUGAAACUGUGGUGGAAAUUAAAGAUGUUGAGCGUCUGAUAGUGUCAGGAUCAGAUCAGUCUUUAUCUGUGUAUGUGGGUGAAGACGUGACUCUGAACUGCUCUGUGGACUCUCACAUCCCACCUGAACACAUUGAAGAGGUUUCAUGGAAGAAAAGAGUUAAAGAUGAACACAUCACAGUUCUGCUCUAUCAAAACAAUGAGACUUUUCCAGAUUCAUCAGAUGAGCAAUACAGAGACAGAGUCGAGUUCUUCAUUGAUGAAAUCCACAGAGGAAACUUCUCUCUCAGACUGAAGAGAGUCAGAACUGAAGAUAAAGGACUUUACAUGUGUCACGUGUUUGCUGGACGAUUCUCAGACAACACAACUAUAGUACUGCAACAAAUGGGAGACCAACCGUUGAGGAAUAUUGACACUGAUUGUUUUCAAAAAACAAAGAGUAAAUAUUGAGUAAUGGCACUGAGCAUGCAUUAACGAUGUGGGCAGUUGUGGUCUAAUGGCUAGAGAUUCAGAUUCGUGACCAGAAGGUGGCCGGUAUCGACUGAGGUGCCCUUGAGCAAGGCACCUUACCCCUACUUGCUCCCCUGGCGCUGCGGUGAUAGCUGCCCACUGCUCCGGGUGUAUAUGUGUUCACCACUUGCAGUGCGUGAGUUCACUACUCACUGGACGGGUUAAGCUCACCAUAGCUGACAAAUAGGUCACUCUCAGAGAACAUGUCCAGUGGAGGAUAAUCAAGAACUGGCCAAAGAAGAAGUCAAUGGCUGUGGUUGAGGUGGAUGGACACAGCAUGGGCUGCCAGAUGACCCUUUAACAAUGCGACACACACCCAGGUCUGAUCAACCUGCGGUGGGCCUCCCUUGGCUGAGGGUGUCUUGUGAUAAAGGGCCGAAACACCUGACGAUGUGUCGGGAUUGAUGGGAACCAAACAAAGGGCAUUAUCAGCAGCACCUCACCACCAAAAGAAAUGUCUCUCUGAUAAUAGCAAGGAAAGGUUUCUCUUCUUUACACAUAAUGGUGUUGAUUCUGUGUAUUACUGCGUGUGGAUCUGCUCUUCUGGUCUGUUGUCUCAUCUACUGCAGAAACAACACGGGGUUUCGUGUGGAAG